CCCCCGUGUCCCGGCCGCUUGGCCUUGGCCGAGACCCUGAGCCCGCGUGGCUGCCGGGGAGAGCGAAGGACCCAGCCCAGCAGCCGGAGCGCAGGGAAGCAGGGCACCCUGAAUAGUUCACGUUCAUGGUGUUUGACUAACAUUCUUACUAUCAUUAGCCUUUCCCUUCAGUACAGGCUGGGCCUGGGUUUCUCUGUUCUCAGAGAAGACCCGAAUCUUGGUGAUCCAGUUGCUCUGUCCAUGUCUGUCUCCAGGGUGAGGAAGGGCUCCAGGACGCUUUGGCACAAGGCUCUGGAACACACCUUUUUUUUUUUUUUAUUUGAGGCAAGGACUCACUAAUUUGCCACGUUGUCCAGGCUGGUCUCAAACUUGAGGUCCUCCUGCCUCAGCCUCCCCAGCCCCCGAGAUCACAAUGGGCAUCUGUUACAGCAGUGCUGCAGCAGGUCUAGAGUCCUCUUUCCCGCGUGUCCUGCUGCCUCGAUGUCCUGAGUGGAUUCCAGACGGCUCCCUUCCAUGAACGUGCUGGAGCUGGGAAGAGCCAGCAGGGGAAGUGCACCUCCGUAGGGUGGAGGGGGACACUGAUGUCUUCAUGAGCACGCAACAGCAGCAGCAGCAUUCCCCACAUUUUGAUCAUGUCUGGUGAACUCUCUGUCAGGUGGGGCUUC